ACAGUUUGAUCCUGGCUCUCAAUGAACGCUGGCGGCGUGCUUAACACAUGCAAGUCGAACGAUGAAGCCCUCGGGCUGAUUAGUGGCGCACGGGUGAGUAAUGUAUAGGUUACGUGCCUCUUAGUUCGGGAUAGCCAUUGGAAACGAUGAUUAAUACCGGAUACUCCUUUCACGAGGGAAAGAUUUAUUGCUAAGAGAUCGGCCUAUAUCGUAUCAGCUAGUUGGUGAGGUAAUGGCUCACCAAGGCAAUGACACGUAGCGGGUUUGAGAGGAUGAUCCGCCACACUGGUACUGAGACACGGACCAGACUCCUACGGGAGGCAGCAGUGAGGAAUAUUGCACAAUGGGGGAAACCCUGAUGCAGCAACGCCGCGUGGAGGAUGACGCAUUUCGGUGCGUAAACUCCUUUUCUGGUAGAAGACGAAUGACGGUAUACCAGGAAUAAGGGACGGCUAACUAUGUGCCAGCAGCCGCGGUAAUACAUAGGUCCCAAGCGUUAUCCGGAUUUACUGGGCGUAAAGAGUCUGUAGCCGGACAUAUAAGUCUGUUUUCAAAUACUAUGGCUCACCCAUAGAAAGGGAAUAGAUACUGUAUGACUGGAAGUUAUUGGGGUUAGUGGAAUUUCAGGUGGAGCGGUGAAAUGCGUCGAUAUCUGAAAGAACGCCGAAAGCGAAAGCAGCUAAUUACAAUAAACUUGUCGGUAAGAGACGAAAGCUUGGGGAGCGAACGGGAUUAGAUACCCUGGUAGUC
rnacentral:rRNA from 1 species